GUGCUCGCUUCAGCAGCACAUAUACUAAAAUUGUAACGAUACAGAGAUUAGCAUGGCCCCUGCGCAAGGAUGACAUGUAAAUUCAUGAUGCGUUUCAUAUUUUA